rnacentral:rRNA from 1 species
UACGUAGGGCGCAAGCGUUGUCCGGAAUUAUUGGCGUAAAGAGCUCGUAGGCGGUCUGUCGCGUCGGCUGUGAAAACCCGGAGCUCAACUCCGGGCCUGCAGUCGAUACGGGCAGACUGGAGUUCGGCAGGGGAGACUGGAAUUCCUGGUGUAGCGGUGAAAUGCGCAGAUAUCAGGAGGAACACCGGUGGCGAAGGCGGGUCUCUGGGCCGAUACUGACGCUGAGGAGCGAAAGCGUGGGGAGCGAACAGG